AUAAACCAUCGGAGAAAAAGUCAGAGACAAACCAGACAAAUCUUCAAUGACCAUCUCGCAUAGUGGAGACUCUUGGGGCCUCAAAGAUAAAGGGAAUCAACUAGGUAAAGCUUCACGGCGACUAGUGGUCGAAGGAGGUGAGGAUGGAGGUGGUCGGAGAGGCGGUGGCUUCAUCGGAGACGAGAGAGAGAACUAGAAGGUUCUAGAGAGAAGGGAGAGCAAACGUUUUAAUAUAGAGAGAGAGAGAGAGAGAGUCCGUCUCUG
rnacentral:lncRNA from 1 species